GGGUGUAUAGCUCAGUGGUAGAGCAUUUGACUGCGGAUUAAGAGGUCCCUGGUUUACAUCCAGAUGCCCCCU
rnacentral:tRNA from 1 species